rnacentral:rRNA from 1 species
CUGGCGGCGUGCUUAUACAUGCAGUCGAACGAGAAAUCCCGAUUUCGGUUGGGAAAGUAAAGUGGCGAACGGGUGAGUAACACGUGGAUAACCUACCCUUAAAUCUGGGAUAAUCCUCCGAAAGGAAGUCUGAUACCGGAUAAUAUCGCUGGAUGGCAUCUUCCGGCGAUCAAAGGCGGGGCAACCUGCCGUUUAUGGAUGGGUCCGCGUUCCAUUAGCUUGUUGGUGGGGUAACGGCCUACCAAGGCUACGAUGGAUAGCCGGCUUGAGAGAGUGAUCGGCCACACUGGGACUGAGAUACGGCCCAGACUCCUACGGGAGGCAGCAGUAGGGAAUAUUGCGCAAUGGACGAAAGUCUGACGCAGCAACGCCGCGUGGGUGAUGAAGCAUCUUGGUGCGUAAAACCCUGUCAGUGGGGAAGAACCGUGUAAGGAGUAACUGCCUUGCACCUGACGGUACCCACAGAGGAAGUCCCGGCUAACUCCGUGCCAGCAGCCGCGGUAAUACGGGGGGGACAAGCGUUGUUCGGAUUUACUGGGCGUAAAGGGCGCGUAGGCGGACUUUCAAGUCGGAUGUGAAAUCUCCGGGCUUAACUCGGAGCCUGCAUCCGAUACUGUCGGUCUUGAGUAUAUCAG